GAGGGUAUAGCUCAGUGGUAGAGCACAUGCUUAGCAUGCACAAGGUCCCGGGUUCAAUCCCCAGGAACUCCA
rnacentral:tRNA from 1 species